rnacentral:rRNA from 1 species
GAUGAACGCUGGCGGCGUGCCUAAUACAUGCAAGUCGAACGCGAGAGGAGGGAGCUUGCUCCCUCUGAUCGAGUGGCGGACGGGUGAGUAACACGUAGGCAACCUGCCCGUCAGGCGGGGAUAACUGCGGGGAACCGUUGCUAAUACCGGAUAAUCCUCCCCGACGCGGGGCGGGGAGUUGAAAGACCGCUCCGGCCGUCGCGGAGGGAUGGGCUCGCGGCGCAGUAGCUGGGUGGCGGGGUAACGGCGCACGAAGGCAACGAUGCGGAGCCGACCUGAGAGGGUGGUCGGCCACAGUGGGACUGAGACACGGCCCAGAGUCCUACGGGAGGCUGGAGUGGGGAAUCUUGCGCAAUGAGCGACAGCUUGACGCAGCAACGCCGCGUGGGGGAAGAAGGCUUUCGGGUCGUAAACCCCUUUCAGUUAGGACGAAGCUUUAUUGGUUAAUAACCAAUUGGAGUGACGGUACUUUCAGAAGAAGCCCCGGCUAACUACGUGCCAGCAGCCGCCGUAA